UCCACCUUACUUGUUAUUCUAAACAAAAUCACACGGCGUCUUCACGGGCGAUUGGAUCUGAGCUUGAGGCGGAGAUGGCGGAGGACGGAGGCAGAGGCCGCCGUCUCUGCCGGUCGACGACGGAGAAACGGCCGCAACCGAGGAGGACGGCCAUGGAGGGGAGAGUGCUGCCUCGAUCCGGAUGAGGGGAGUAGCAGCUGCGACCUCGAUGCGGAUGAGGAGAGCAGCAAUCGCGCCCGGCGGCCUCGGCUAGGAGCUUUGCCCUCUUAUUCCCGCGCGGUGCAGCGGCGACCUGAGGACGAGUUCGAGGCACAGUGGUCGUUCCAGCACACGAUGCCGGGGGAGGCGGCGGUGCUUCCUUGCCUCAUCUGUUCUCCUUAUCUGAGGUCCGUCCGACGGCAGAUGCACACCCGACGUCGUCAUGGAGGCUCCGACCCCGAGGCACCCUCCCUGCUUCCUUCUGGUUGCAUCUCCCCCUGAUUCUAUUUUAUCCAUGCCUACACGAUGCACAACAGAACUCCUAGCAGGCUUGCAAUCUCACGCGUAAGGGAAGAUGUGUUCCUCUCUGGCUAGCACCUGCUCGAUCAAAUGCCUAGCCAUUUCAAUCGUUUAUUGUAGGAAAUAUAAGGUGCACCCAAAUAGGAGGCCAUUCUGUGCAGCCUAUUCUUUUCAGUUCUAGGAAUCCUAUGGUAGAGGGUGGUGUUAGUUCUAUAAAUAACUUUCAGACAUCUGUAGUUUUUCAGGUUGUAGCGUGACAACUUUGAUCAAAAUUUGUUUCAGUUGACUCUACAUUCCAUUUGUUGAUUUUGUGUUCUUAACUGAAAGCAGAGUUUGUUGAUGUAAGUGACUUGGAUUAGUAUUCUUCUCUUUGCUAUGCUAAUAUUCACCUUGCUUCAGUUGACCCCACUUUCCGUUCAUUGAUUUUGUGUUCUUAACAGAAAGCAGAGUUUGUUGGUGUAAGUGACUUGGAUCAGUAUUCUUCUUUUUGCAUAUGCUAAUAUUCACCUUUAACAGCUGCUAAAGUAUCAUGGCAUUAUAUCAAACUCUGCUCUGCCCAAAUUUUCCAGGCCUGAAGAGAGGAAGUAGGCCGGCGGCAAGGAUCCAGUGACGAGCGCCUCCGUAGCGCAGAUACUUUGGAUCUAUGUGCUUUGGCCAAAUUGGUCGAGCCUGAGACUGAUUAGAAGGACAGAUGGGCCUGGAAGAUACACCAGAAACAGAAGAAAAAGUUCUCAAAAUUGCGAAAGAGCGAUAUAGAGGCCGGUGAUCAACUCUAAGCUCCACUUACAAGGCAUACAAAACAGAUGCAGCUAGAUUGGCUAAUCUGCCGGAAGAUUUACAACCGGAAGAGUGAAUGGAUGAUUGAGUACUUUGGCACUGAUUCAAAAUUUCAGGAACACAACCGAAAGAACACUGAUAACCGUAAGAAACAGAAGACAAAACACAGAAUUAGAUCAAAAUCUUACUCGCAACUAAGUUUUGAUAAGGAUCCAAAGAACUAGCUCGACUGGACUCUAAUCACGGACAAUUUAGUCUUGGCACUUAAUUGGGAUGGCUAAAUUACAUUUGAGUUUCAUUUGAUGGAUAUUUACUAUGAGAAUUAUGAAUUUUAUUAAUCUACAUAUUAUACAUAUGGUUUUAAAUAUUGUAAUUGAAUGCCUGUAUUUUUUUUAGGUUGCAGUAGGCUAUUGCCACAACCUCA